UCUUGGAUUUUCAUGGACUUGGGGAUGACUACGAAUGAAUGAUUGUAGUUGAGGUAGGUCAAGGUAGGUGUCUAGAUCCUGUAUUUAUCAGCAAGUUUUAGCAUAACUUGCCAAGGAUCAGAGAUUUUUCAGAGCGAUUUAAGACAUCUUGCUAGGCAUCAGAUUAUCAGCGAGAUUUAAGAUAUCUUGCUAGUGAUCGGUAUAAUUGCAUGAUUUCAGAUUCUCAUAUUUUUAAGAUUCAAGAAGUCUACAGGAAUACAGGGAAGUAGGCUGUUAUGGAUAUCAGAUAGUGGUCUCCCUGGCAUCUGCUUGCAAUUUUUGUUGACACUCCACCACGAUCUCAAGGACCUGGCUUUAUCAAUGAUAUGUCCGCAAGGGGAGAGCGGGGGAAGGGUGGCAGAGCCAGUCACCCCCGUGGGAGCAAGAUUCCUGAAAGGAUGUCUUUGGAAAGGGAAGCAUUUGUUUGCCAUUAAACACAAGAUUGAGGACAGGUUGCGGAUCUUGGAUUUUCAUGGACUAGGGGAUGACUAUGAAUGAUUGAAGUUGAGAUAGGUCAAGGAGAUGUCUUGAUCCCGUAUUUUUCAGUUGGUUUUAAGAUAACUUGCUAAGGAUCAGAGAUUUUUCAGCGAGAUUUAAGACAUCUUGCCAGGCAUCAGAUUUAUCAGCAAGAUUUGAGAUAUCUUGCUAGUGAUCGGUAUAACUGCAUGAUUUCAGAUUCUCAUAUUUUUAAGGUUCAAGAAGUCUACAGGAAUACAAGCUUGGAGAGGACAGGUUGCAGAUCUUGGAUUUUCAUGGACUUGGGGAUGACUUGAGGUUCAAGAAGUCUACAGGAAUACAAGCUUGGAGAGGACUGGUUGCGGAUCUUGGAUUUUCAUGGACUUGGGGAUGACUUUGAAUGAUUGUAGUUGAGAUAGGUCAAGGUACAACAAGCCCUGAUCAGGAUACGCUGAAAACUACCGACGAGUGUCAAAUCACUUCCGUAAGGGAGAAACUUAAUGAACGAACUCUCCGCGCUUACACCAACGCGUCACAUUGAUACAGAGCAGGAUGAUGCUCUUGUUUCAGUAAAUGUAAUGUAAUGUAAUGCAACGCUACAAUUUGUUAGGCAAAAUGUUUGUUCAAAAUUGUGAUUUAUCAACAUGUUUGAAGAUCACCUGUAUGUAUAUCACCUGUAUGUAGAUCACCUGUAUGUAUUUGACAAUGCAAUACCGCACAUAAUCUUGCACUGUGGCCCAGUGUGUUUUGUACCUUUGAAACUAAUGUAAUUCAAACCUUUCAAGCCUGAAUGCUCUUGGGACCCCUUUCCCGUUCUCAAAUAGUCUGUGUACUAUUUGAAUUAAAUUAGCUGCUAAAGUCAAUUGAUAAAUUUAUCAUUCAAUACAGUGUCAUCUUCCUUAGCCCCGUCUAGGCAUAUAAAUCUUCUAUCAAUUUCAGUUGUUUUUUAAUAUUUUUGUCGCGAUAUCUUUUUGAAUUUACAGUUUUUUUCCUUUAGUGGUACAUGUUGGUCAUUUUAGCUAGAUUAGAGGUGGGUUAGGCCUACGAGGUUCUGAUAGCAGUUUAUUUCAUGACUGGCAGUUAGUGCCGUCAUCCGUAGCCACUUCUAGUGUAGCCGUUAGUGAUAGGAUGGAGACCAGCGAGUUUAGUAGGUGUAGGCGCAACGUAUCUAAGGUUAGACACUCACUGGUCUUUAUCUCCAGGAAGAUGACA